rnacentral:tRNA from 1 species
AGGAUUAUAGUUAACUAUAACAUCUGGGUUGCAUUCAGAAGGUACACAAAGUGUUUUUCUUU